UAAUUAAUUUUUUGUUUGAUAAUUUAUUUUAAAUAUAUAUAAAUAAGUGACAAUGAAAACUAUUAUAUGUUUAUAUAAAAUUAUAGUUUAUUAAUUUAAAAUUUUAAUUUAAUUUACAGGUCAGAGCAAAUCCUUAUUACUACAAAGGACGUCCUCGUUUGAACACUGCCAAUGAACUUCUAAACACUAGCUUGGAGCUUGAGCAAAGACUUCAUGAGGUUUCAUUACCAUUUAUGGUACUACACGGAGGAGAU